UGGGCUGUAGCCAAGCGGUAAGGCAACGGGUUUUGGUCUCGUCAUGCAAAGGUUCGAAUCCUUUCAGCCCAG
rnacentral:tRNA from 2 species